CCCCACUUGGCGGAAUAGGUAGACGCGUUAGACUUAAAAUCUAAUUUCAUUUAGAAGUAUCAGUUCAAUUCUGAUAGUGGGGA
rnacentral:tRNA from 1 species